GAGGGUAUAGCUUAAGUGGUAGAAUGUGUGCUUAGCAUGCUUGAGGUCCUGGGUUCAAGCCCCAGUACCUCCU
rfam:Camelus ferus unplaced genomic scaffold scaffold1173, whole genome shotgun sequence.